UACGGAGGGGGCUAGCGUUGUUCGGAAUUACUGGGCGUAAAGCGCACGUAGGCGGCUUUGUAAGUUAGAGGUGAAAGCCCGGGGCAUCACUCCGGAAUUGCCUUUAAGACUGCAUCGCUAGAAUUGUGGAGAGGUAAGUGGAAUUCCGAGUGUAGAGGUGAAAUUCGUAGAUAUUCGGAAGAACACCAGUGGCGAAGGCGACUUACUGGACACAUAUUGACGCUGAGGUGCGAAAGCGUGGGGAGCAAACAGG
rnacentral:rRNA from 1 species